CUUUACUGUAAGCUGACAUUGUGUCGUUGUUCUGUUUGCGCAGGAUAGGUGGGAGACUUUGAACUCGGGGCUUUGGCUCCGGGGGAGUCGCCGUUGAGAUACCACCCUUGCGGUACGACGCCACUCACUCCGUCUGUGAAACGCAGCGGGGGACAGUGUUUGCCGGGCAGUUUAACUGGGGCGGUUGCCUCCUAAAGUGUAACGGAGGCGCGUAAAGGUCGACUAGCGCCGGAUGGAAAUCGGCGCGGUAGUGUAAUCGCACAAGUCGGCCUGACUGUGAGGCCUACAAGCCGAGCAGGGACGAAAGUCGGCGAUAGUGAUCCGGUAUCCAUGAACACGCUUUACCGUGUGUUCACACCACGUGGGUGGGAUAUCGCUCA
rnacentral:rRNA from 1 species